rnacentral:rRNA from 1 species
CAGUCGCCACGGUAAUACGAAGGGGGCUAGCGUUGCUCGGAAUGACUGGGCGUAAAGCGUGCGUAGGCGGUGAGUUAAGUCUGCUGUGAAAUCCCCGGGCUCAACCUGGGAAUGGCAGUGGAUACUGGCUCGCUAGAGUGUGUCAGAGGAUGGUGGAAUUCCCGGUGUAGCGGUGAAAUGCGUAGAGAUCGGGAGGAACAUCAGUGGCGAAGGCGGCCAUCUGGGACAACACUGACGCUGAGGCACGAAAGCGUGGGGAGCAAACAGGAUUAGAUACCCCCGUAGUCCCUGUCUCUUAUAC